GAAACAGUCAAAUGAAAACAAAAGGAAGGAAGAGAAACCGACACACACAAAAUCCCUAAACUCACUCCUCUCUUUCACUGAAAUCGAUCAUCACCCGACCAUCGACGAAAUUGGAAGUGCUGGUGGAACCUUCCACCGCCCAACCGUGAAAGCUGCUUUUUCCAAUCCCGUAGGGGGGCCUAGAAGAAUUUUUGGAGAGUUAACCCUUUUGCUCUUCUUCUGUAAGGAGCCCUUUAAACAUCAAUUUUUUGGAGAUUUUCUGAGAAAAUUUCGGAGUAAGAAUUGAGAAAUUUUUAGACAAAUAAAUAGGAAGAUAUACAGAAACUCUGUAUCUGUAUAAAGGAAACAAAGUUUGCACGAAUCGAAGAUAAUUUUGUAAGUUUCCCUCUUGUAUCUUGGUUUGUUUAAAAACCUUUUAUAAACUAUUUGUAAAUCUCUAUUUUUGUUCUUAAUCUGCACAAAUUUGCGUCUCCUUAUUUUUUACAAUUUCAUAAUUUUGAGCUGUUUCAUAUGUUUCAUGAAAUUAAUUUUAUUCUUUAUCAUUAAAUAAUCAUGCUAUAGAAUUCUCGAAUCUCUCAUAGCUAAGUUCAUUGGCUUAGGGUGAUUCCAAGAGCUGGGUAGUCUCUUUCCAUUCUCAUAGGGUACUGAAUUAUUUGUUUGAUUUAUUUAUAUGUUUUAUUGAUGGGGGAGAGAAAAGGAGGUAGUGCUGGUUGUUUGGUGGUUGCAGAGGAAGAACGUGGUGAAGGAGACAAUAGAAAAUAGAAAAGAAAAAUGAUGGCAAAGAUAGACACAAAAGGUGGGUGAAGGAACAAAAAAUUAUGGUAUGGGGUUUUGAUGAUCUUUUAUCACUAUUACUAUAGCUAUUAUUUACUUCUCUCUCCCUUUUCUUGUUUUACUCAAAUAUAGCUACUAGAACUACAUGACUCCUGCGAUUAUUUUAGGACAUAGCUAUUAGAAUACACACAUACAAAUGGUGAAUAUUUAUUUUUUUAAUGCUCUCACUCUUGUUUUCAGUCUUGCGUGAGCUUGCACUUUUGCUCCAUGUAGUAUUAUGGUCUAUUAUCAAGGCCUAAAUAUGUUCAUCUAUGUGAACAAGUAUAAGAAACUUGAAGAAACAAUUUGGAUCAACCAACUUGGGAUUAAAAUUUUCGAGUAAUUAUAGGGUGGCGAAACUCAAAAAGGGCAUGUCACGUGCUCUUUGAUUUCCUAGAUAAGAAAGAAUUUUUGUAAUUCAAAGCACUAGAAAAGAAUCGAGAAUGCUUCUAAUAUCAGUAUAAAAAUGUCAUUUAUAAUGAUUACAUUUUGUUUGAAUAUUUGUGCCUCAUAAUGGUUAAAGAGAGAAAGCUCUACUUAUUGUUCCAAAUCAUUAGCAUGCCCCUGAAUUCCUGAAACUAUAUUGUUUUUAUUGAAGAUUUUCUUAUGAACAACAACUUUUUGCUUAACUUGAAAACUAUUCUUUAGGAUUUCCAAUGUGACCUUGUCGUUAGGGAAAGAUGAACUAUUCAGUUCUGAAUGGAAGCUUAACAUUCAUGUAAAUGCUUAAACCAACUUCUUUCUUUACAAGUAGAAACAACAAUGGUAGUGAUAAUAGUAUGUGUGAAAGACUGAACAAACAAUUUGAUGUAACAAACAUGGUGUAAUUAAGCUUAAACCUUAUUUCUUAUCUUUUACUGAACUCUAUUAUCUAUGCAACGAACUUAAUCAUUUUAUAGCUAAAAUGCUUAAAAUUUCCUACCAGAGUUCGAUAUGGUAAAUUUAGAAUACCCUCAAGCUACUAAUACCAAAUAUUCAAUACAUAUAAAAUUGAAAUACUUUAGAUAUAACAUAGUCGCUAAAAAGAAAAGAGAAAAAUGAAAGAAAGCAAUCAUAAAUUUACAGGAAAAAGCAUGAAGCAUUAUCUAGGCAAAAUAGGGGAUUUGAAAUGCCUUACCUGGUAGAAAUUUCGUCAUUGCAAUCUUCGAUUCCACGAAGUAAGUAAUAAAAUAAAACCCCAUACACAUAAGUAAAAGAAAAAAAGAAUGGUUCAAACAUACAAAAAAACUGAAAAUGAAAUCGUCCAGAAAUUACAAUAUAUAUAUAUAUAUAUAUAACUUUAGGUGUAUUUCUGAAGAAGUUAAAGAUCAACUUGUUCAAAUUCUACGGAUUGAUUUUUUUGGGGUAAAAGAAAGAAAACAAGAUCACUAUAGAUGAAACGAACUGAAACAUAUAUUGUAAAAUACAAACGUCAAAUUUGAGCAUUACUUCUAAAGUAUUUCUGUUUUACAAAAACAGAGAAGAGUUGAAUUGCAGAAUGUUUAUGUAAUCUAUCUAAAUCUACAAAAGAAGAGGAGAAUGAAUGAAAUUUGGAGGAGAUUUCUGAUAUAAGAUGAAUUAAAAACUGCCACUUAAAACUUAAUCUCACAUGAAAUUAAUCAAAGGACGGAAACUCUGUAUCUAUAUAAAGGCAACGAAAUUUACACGAAUCGACGAUAAUUUUGUAAGUUUCCUUUUUGUUUCCUGGUUUGUUUAUAAUCUUUUUAUGAACGCUUUGUAAAUCUCUAUUUUUUGUUCUUAAUUUGCAUAAAUCUUUGUCUUCUUAUUUUUUACAAUUUCAUAAUUUUGAGUUGUUUCUUAAAAUUAAUGUUAUCAAUUUUGAGAAUUAUUGGCGUUCUUUAUUAAUGGUUUAAUACUUGAAACAGGCCUUUGCAUGCAAGUUAGACAACUCUGAGAUGUAAGGUGUUUUUUUAGUGUUAAAUUUUUUUCUCUGUGAAUGUAUAUUGCAAAUUAUGAAUUUAUAUGCAUAUUUGUCUAAUUGCUUGGGAUAAAGACAUAAAUAUAUUAAUCGGGUUCAAUUUGAGAGAAUGCUGAAAGUCAUUACAAAGUACUGUCUUUGAAUUUUUAACAAUAAUGAUUUAGCUGAGUUUAGCCAUGGUAAGAAGACACUAAUAUUUCCUAUGCGCUUAUAUUUUUGCACUAACUCCUUCGUACGUGUUCCCUUUGUUGGCCACACCUUUCAUUCCGUGCCUUUUGUUGCUAGAUGGAGCUAAUAAUAGAAAAAAAGACCAUUCGAUUUUUGGGAUUGUCACCAGAAAUAUAUAUCCACAAUAAGUGUGAAACUGUUGAUUAGUGACAGAAGUCAUUAGUUCAGAUUUUGUGCUUGAUAUGCGGAAAACCCGUUCAAGCGUUACUAACUUUUCUUGUUUGUUAUGGGAAGCAGACUGUUCCUAUUCUCGUGAUAAGGAUAUGAUUUAUGCUUAGGUUUUGAUGAUAUCAAUUGGUGCACAUGCUUGAGUGACUUCUUACGAUUUGAUUUGUGUAGCUAGAUUUGAUUUGCUUCCUUGUGUAGAAGUGCAAAUCAUUGGCAAGAAAUUUAUUUUACAUGGUUAGGAGACGGAGCUGAUGUGGUAUACUCUUCUACACUUAUAUUAGUAUUGUAUUUCAGUCCAUAGCACUCUUUCAUGAAAUUAUUUUUCUAGUUUAACAAGGUGUUGAAAUUUUGAACUGGGUCAUAGGCUAAAAAUAGAAUCAAAUUCUUCUCCAUUGAAUGCUAUUUCAAUAAAUCAAAUCAAAUCAAGUUUGUUUACAAGACUUAUUAGCAAUUAAUUCUCCUCUCUAAUUUCUCUUUGAAUACCAUCUAUGGUGAAUCUUGCAUGUCAUGAGUUUUUAGCGUUACACAUUUCAUGUUGAAGUUUUAUGCCUUAUGCACUAUCUACCUCCAAUUUGGCAUGCUUGAAAGUCUUCAACCUAAUUUAGUAGUUAUUCUUUUCCUGAUAAAGAAGCUCGUCAAUAAAUGGAAGACUGCAAGUGUAGAGGGCAAGAAAUACACUUUUUCACAAUUUUAUGACCUUUCAGAACUAAGGGCAGGUUUGUCAAGAGGAUGUUACACCAUAAAAUUUUACUCUUUCAAGUAUUGUAAAAUUUCCUUUCACACCAUAUUUUUUAUUUAUUGUGAACUACUUCCUUUUACUUUCCUACAUCAUGCUUCCUUUAAUGGUUAUUAAAGUAAUUACAUCUGGAUAGACAUAAGGCGAUCAACAAAAUAAUUAAAUCAAAAUAGAAGACCUAGUAAUAUGGGUUGUUCCUAAUACAACAUUUCAUCAUUGAAAUCAUGAAACUGUCCCCAAUAUAUUGUAUUUAAAGAAUUUUGUCCAAUUUCCUGAGGUCUUAAAGUACUUGUUUCAUAAAUGGUGUUAUAUAGUUCUUUUUAUUUCGUUUUGCAUUGCUUCCUCUCUAAGCCACCUAGGGCCUCAUAUUUUAUAGGGGUCUCAUUGAGAAUAAAAAUCGGCCAAAAACCCUCCCCAAGAGCCGUCCAAAACCCAACCAUUAACUGCAGAGGAUGGUGAAAAUUAGAGAAAAUCGUGAACUUCAGAGAAUAAGUACGUAAUCCGUUAGUGCCCCUUAAUUUUUCUUUCGUCUUGUGUAUUAUUUUACAUAUUGUAUUUUUCUCCAUUAUUUAUUCAGUAGAGAAUGAAUCUGAUGUGCAAUACUUCGUGAAUUUAUGUAAUGUGAAACCCCCAUUUCAAUGCUAACCAUUUUAGACCCUGAAGAAUGCUCUAAAUGUAGCAAAUGGAUUGUUCUUUUUUGAUUGAAAUCUGUUUGGAAUUUGUAAUGUUUAAAAUAGUGAUGAGCUUUUCGAAUAGUAACCAGUUUGGUUGUGGUGGUUUGGCAACUGUUGUGGUGAUACUCGUAUAUUUUACAUUGUGCAUUUGGAUGGAAAUUUUGAUAAAUACUUGGCAUAUUUGUGGGCCUAGACCACGUUUGUUUUGGGCAUUCACACUUUAUUGUUUCACAUGUCAACCUAGGAUCGCAUCAGUAUCAUGAGUAAAGCUUGUUUGGAUGAUAUGUUAAUUCCUUAAAUAAAAUCAUUUUAAAUAUUCUCGAUACUUGCAUGAAUGACUUGUAGAUUGCUAAAGAAAUGUUUUGCCAAGUAAAAUAAUCAUAAAAUGAUCAAAAGAGCAUGCAGAAGAUACAAGAAGUACUCAGCUGGUUUUAAUAUUUUUGGCUUUUGAAAAGAUAACAUGUAUAUAAUACGAUAGUCUAAAUAAAAAGAAAAAGAUGAUUGAGUACACUCUAAGCAACAUGAGAAAAAUAUUCUUGCAACUGACAUCACACAGUAUUUGUUUAUGGCUUUUAAUAUGAAUACAACCAUUGUUGUAAUAUAAUUCUGCUUAUAGUUUUCAUUGCCCAAUCCAUGCUAAUGUCGAAUAGAAAAUUCUUCCUGCUGUCAUAAGUGGUGGUACUCGUGUAUUACACAAUGUGUCUCUUAUGCAUAUUCUCAGAUAUUUUGAUUGACCCUUGACAUAUCUGUGGUUUUAAUGUUUUGUUACUCGUCUUCUGUGGAAAUAACCUUGUUUCACUAAGUACAACUGUUGUGGGGUACUUGUUCCAUGCAUGUGGUGGAAAUCUUGACUGACUUUGGCAUAUCUAUGCUUUCAAUGGUUUUGUUACUUAUCUGAUGUGGAAAUAACCUUGUUUUCACUUGCAAUCCAUAUGCUAUAUUUGUUAAUUCAACUUGUGUUUCUUAACUUGGUUAGUGUAGAAUUUACUCAUUUUAUUUGAAAACAAAGGAAUAAAUAUGCACGGAUAUUCAAAAAAAUCAUGUUAAGAAAUUGAGAAUUUCAAGGACGACGUCGUUUAAAUAUAUUGUAAUUUCGAUCUUGCAAAAGGAAAUUCUUAAAGGGUGACUUAAAGUUAUAUGGGUGGUACUCAUUAUAUGCAUUUGGGUAGAAAUCUUGACUUGCAAUCCAUAUGUUGUGAUGUGGAAAUAACCUUAUUUUGUUAUUUGUGUGACGUGGACAUAAUUUUGCUUUCACUUGCAAUCAAUAUGUUGUGUAGUGGUGAUACUCGUAUUUGGGUGGAACUCUUGUUGAUAGACACUUGACAGCAUAGCUCUAAAAUCACUUACCAUUGAACUGUCGUUCUCGACAGUUAGCCUCAGUAAUUCUUGACAGAUGGACUCAUCAACAGAUAAACCGUUAUCCCCGACAGUUAACCUCAAUAAUUCUCAACAGAUAAACUAUCGGGAAUGACAGUUCCUUCCUUUACCUAAACUUAGUUCCACAAGUUGAACUUUGGUUCCAACAUUGCAGGUGUGUUUCGCAUUAACAUGUAUGAAAUGAUAUGAUCUUACGAUUUGUUGAUUGAUUCAUCGUUUUACCUUAUUCGUCCAUACGUGAUUCAUUUUUUUACAUCUGGACGUCUCAUGUGUGUUUGAAAAAUUAUGAUCUGACGUAUUCAAUUUUUGUUCUGUUGCAGGACACAUGGAUUUUGAAUUUCUAGUUUAGGAUAAUGCAUGAAUGAGGGCCCACAUCUCACAGAGAAGCAAUCUGCGGUACGUGAAAAUUGUCCUCGAGUAUUUCGAUGAUCGACAGCACACGAAUUUCUGUAACUCAUGCCUCGGGUUCUUGUCCGAGGUUCCAAAUCUUCAAUUCUCCGUCCAACUAAUCUAACAGCUCGUGUUCCACUGCAUACGAACUGAUAAGGCCCAAAAAUUAUGGUUCAAUUUGCAAGGCCAUUUAGCCAGUUCAGCCUGCAAGAGUAUGCGAUCGUCACGAGUUUAAUGUGUGGUCCUCUUCCAAAUGAAGACGCGAUGGGCCGAGUUUUGCAGAAGAGGAGACUGAACGAAAAAUACUUCAAAUCAAUGGACAAGAAUACGUGUACCGAACUCGAGAAGACUUUCUCCAAUUGUCGAUGCCCCAGGCCGAUCGGUACAAGCUCCGCCUUGCUCUAAUCAUCGAAGGAGUCUUUAAUGCUCUGGAUAACCAUGCCGGUAUCGACAUUCCCAUGUUAUCGAUCGUAGACGAUCAGGACAUUUCCUUUUCCUAUCCUUGGGAUAGAGUACCCUACAGACAUCUAAUUAGGGGCUUUCAAUACAGUUUGGGACGAAAAUUUGUAGAUGCCAAGUAAAACAAGGAGAAGGCGAUUACUUAUACAGUUCACGAUUUUUCCAUUGCCAUGUAGGUACUCCAUAAUAAUUUCAUUUUCUGUAUUCAUUAUUUCAAUGCAAAUGUAUUGUAAUGGAUGCUUUCAUCAUCAACUCAUACUUAUUUUCUACUGUAACGGAUACAUGCAUUCGAGGCAAUGCUAGAAAUUGGUGAUCGAUUUGGUUGACGGCUGGAUCAACAAUCCCCACGGCUUCUCAGUUGUACAUCAACAAAACAGCCGCAGCAACAUAGUACGAUGUAUUCUUCAAGAAUGUACAUGUAUUGGAUUAUGUUCGAUGCACUCGUCCUCGAUUCAUUUGUUGUUGUUCCUUACAUUUGUGGUAAUACUCAAUUCUGUUAUGUUGCAGCUGCACGUAUACGCAACGCUGCGUCCUACUGAAGCUGAGCUAGGACACCAUAUAUCUCCACCCUUGUGCCAUUAAAAGACUAUACUAUGCCUGCGAUGGACGACGUUGCAAGGGACAUAAUUGCUCCACAGUUUCUCCCAAAGCCUUUGGGCAGUGAGGAUAAUGUCGAAAACUCAACGGGGGAAGUCGAGGAGGAGGCUCCGAGAACGAUGAGGAGUUGGGAGACGGUAAGGGCGAGGGAGACGGUGAGGAGUUAAAAGGUGAUGAAAGUGGAGACAGCAAUGGUGAGGACUUCGACGACAGUAGGGACAGUGACGGUGAGCAUACUCACAGAGGGUAGGCGGGAACAUUUUUCACCCCCGUAAAUAAACGUACUUCUCCUGUGCAUGCACCGUCCACAUCUUAUGUACGACAAAGUACAACUGCUGGAGCGAGCCUCAAAAGAGCCGAAGUGGAGGGAAUGUUACUGGAUCAAAGAAACCUCAUUGAAAUUUGCCUCCGCACCGUGAAACUUGAAAUAAUUCAGCACGCGACCAACAAAUUUGUGAGACUCAGGGAGUUCAUUUCUACCCUCGUCCCCCCAUCCAACUGCAGAACUAAUGUACCUACGACUAAGGCGAGAACGAGCCUAGAGUUUUAGGUAGUUUACCGCAUGGUAUGUGUACUAUAUUUCAGUUAUAACACUAUAUGUUACUGUCGUUCGCUGACAUUUUCGUACACAUGGGAUCUGUGACUUAAACGGAAAUGGAGGCGACACCCACCCUCACCCGGAAUGUGCAGAAUCGCAAGGUAUGUACGUUAAUUAGGAUGGAUUCAUUUUCAUAUCAUCUUAUUCCGUGCUACUGGCAAAUAUUUAACUCCUUCACGUCAUUGCAAUUGUUGUUUUGUAGUACAUGGAAGAGGCUUUGAUUCGUUGCUGGACGAUCAUGACGAAGAUAUAGGGAUUGAAAUGUAAGAGGGAAACGGCAUGUGCGUUAAGUAACGUGUAAUAUUUUCUUUCGCACUUAAGACGAAGUAGGAUUUGGUGGUUCGGGGAACCAUAAGGAUGAACCUGUUGUGUCCGUUAGUGGCGUAGCGGAGGUGGAGGGUAAAAAUUUACUUGGUGGAAAACUUUGAUCUCACUGGUUCCAGUACGUGGUUCAAAUCGAUGGUUAAGUGCUAACUAUUUCUGGAAUUAUUAUGUAGGUGGUGCAACUGACAUGUCGGGGGAGGCCAGCAUACCCGUGCUGGGCAAUGACCCACCUACCACAAAGAGGCAGCGAUCGGCACACGUGCAACGUUCUGUGGCAUCUACUAGGACUUCGUACACCAGGAGAAGGUGAAGAGAGUGGAGAUAUAAGUUAUUUUGCCAAAAUAUUAACAUAAUUAUAAGUUUGUGUGGACAGUUUCUACGAAACUCAAAUUCUACGGGGGUAAUUUUUGUUAAGUAAGCUCGAUCCAUUGUGUUGUAUUCCUGUUACUUGAUUAUGGAAAUGGUUGUCGUUUGUUUAUGUUAUUCAGAAAUAUCAUGUCGAAUAGCAUAUGAAUAUUUGUUACUGUCGACUUAUGUUGAUCGAAUUUUAUGUCAUACCGUACAGCAUGAAUCAUGAUUCAUUCUCCAUAAUUUUCAGAUUAUAUGUAACUCAAAGAUAUUAUUGUCAAAGUUGCUCAUGUGCACUUGAAUUUAUGUGGCUGUACGUUUGUUUUUGUGAUAGCACCCUGAUCUCAUUAUUUGUGUUACAAAUGUCCAUGCCCUUCCUGAAAUAUUGAAGUCCUUCACAGGUUUUUGUUGAUUAUGCUUGAUUGAUGCAUUCAUUUUCUUUGUUCCAGUUUCAUUGGUUUGUUUCACAUUUUUUGUUCAUUAUACUUGAUUGAUGUAUUCAUUUAUACUUGAAAUGUCUAUCUGGCUGAUCACAUGAAGUGGGGGUAGAGAUUUAUGUACACGAGAACGAUUAUGACAAGUUGCAUUCAUCAAUUGACUUCCAUGAUAACUUCGAUUAGAUUGAUGUUAUUAUUCGUUCAUCAGUUGCUUAUUCUUAACAUUUCUAUGUUCGACAGUUUAAUCAACGACAUGUACGAUGACUUCGGUUUGUUAAGGUUGCUACCGCGGUGUAGUAUGAUUCAAAUGCAAAUAAAAGACGUUUUCUGAUGUAGACAGUAAGGAUGGUCACUGUACUGCAAGUGGUUGGAACGUAGGGUGCUUCGCUCUGGACAACGUUCUAUUUUUACUUUUGUAUGGUUACAAUUAUUGUUUUAGAAACGUCUAUCACAUUCAAUCGUAAAUUUAUUUGGCAAUAUUAUACAUGUUAUUGUUGUUGGGCUAGAGAUUCAUAUCUUUAAUGUUGAAAACCCAGAACGGUGACGAUGUGGGUUCCAAAGGCACACAUCAUCCACACACUUGUUCGUUUCGGUUGUCGUUGUUUAUCA
rnacentral:lncRNA from 1 species